CACAAACACACAUCAUCCCACACACACACACCAUCCAGCACACACACACACAUCAUCCAGCACACACACACACAUCAUCCAGCACACACACCCAUCAUCCAGCACACAAACACCCACCAUCCAGCACUCACACAAACACCCAUCAUCCAGCACUCACACAAACACCCAUCAUCCAGCACUCACACACACACCCAUCAUCCAGCACU